rnacentral:rRNA from 1 species
GUCUAGGGCCAUGCUACCCUGAACAAGCCCAAUCCCAUCUGAUCUCGGAAGCUAAACAGGGUCGGGCUUGGUUAGUACUUGUAUGGGAGACCACCUAGGAAGACUAGGUGCUGUAGCUG